rnacentral:lncRNA from 1 species
UUGUGUACCACUGAGAGUCGACUCUCGCUUUCUUUGGAGUCGACCUGCCAACCAUCGGAGUCGACUCGCGUUCCACAGGAGUCGACUCGAAUCUCAGGGUCGAAAUAACGCUCUCUGACUUUUCUGUCUGUAGCUUCUUGGAGUCGACUCAUAUUACUCCGGAGUCGACUCGGUAAGCAUCGGAGUCGACUCGCGCACUUCAGGAGUCGACUCGCUGACAGGUUUUAAGUUGAU